rnacentral:lncRNA from 10 species
GGCUCGGCUCUACCCCCAUGGAUCUAGGUGGGCUCAAUGUCAUCACAAGGGUGCUUAAGAGGGAAAGAGGAAGCCAUGAGGGUCAGAGUCAAAGGAAGACUUGAAGAUACUACACUGCGGACUUUAAAGAUGAAGGAAGGGGCGAAAACCAAGAAUGUGGGAAGCCUCUAGAAGCUAGAGAAGGCAAGGAAACAAAUUUUCCACUAGAGCCUCCAGAAGGAACACAGCCCUGCUGACCCACUGUAAUGUCUGACCUCUAGAUGUGUAAGGGUAGUAAGACUGAAAGUCUCAGAAAGGCACUGUUAAAUUCUUAUUCCUCAACUAUGCAACUCAAAACUGGGGUCCUCAGCAGUGAGCGAGGGGUGAGAGAAGACACUGUAUAAACAUGGCACAUCCUCCUGGAAAGUCAACUUUACUCAAAGGCUGCAGGCCGUAUUAUGCUAAAUCAAGGAUACGGGGAGAUAAUUAACAUAGCAACUCUGGCAAUUUUAAUAGGUUCUUACACACAGUGACAGCUAGCAGAGUCUAAAAUGCUGACAUUAUGACUUAGAGAUGUGAUAAAGAGAAACAUCUAUUGCAUUUUCUGUGACAGUCUCAUGUUGGCCAUGGGGUACUCUCUGCGUCAUGCUAGAAAGAGUUUAUGGUCCCACCUGCAUCCAUGAGAAAGAGAAAACAAAGCUUCAAUUUUAAGUCCUUGGAAAUUCCAUGCCAUUAAGAAACUGCUACUGCCAGCUUUCUGGCGUUAUUCAAAGGGGUAAAAAGUUCAUUACACUAGUGUUCUUAUAAGUGUUGGUUUUAUUUCAUAUUAUUUGAAGAGCUAUUCUGCUUAGUAACAAUAAAUUGCUUGGAAGAUGUCAGACCUGUGUUUGGGUUAGGGGUUGCUUUUAGCUGCAAGUAAGAACACUCACAAAAGAGGGGCUUAAAUGCAACAAAAGGGGAAGGGCUAAGGGCAAAAGGCACAUGACUUCAGCAUCUGUCCCUUAUAGCGAUAACCAUAUUUUCUCUAGAUGCUCAUUGGACAGAACUAUUUCUCAUGGUCAAUCACAACCAAAAGACAGCUGGGGAAAUUCAGGAUUUUAACAGGGCACACUUCCUAUGCUGAACAAAAUCUGAGUUCUUAAUUUUAAAAAAGAAGAGAAUGAUAUUAGAGAGAUACAUGUUCCAUAAUAGUUAUUUAACUGUUCGUUUUUAAUAAACAUCACUUCAUAUCAAA